rnacentral:tRNA from 1 species
GGGGCAUUGGACUUCUUGGCGAAGGUCGUCGCGUUCUCAGCGCGGAGAAACGGGUUCGAAACCCGUAUGCCCUACCA